GAAGACAUGUGGCGGAAGUAUUACAUUUCCUUUACGAAAAAUCACGAUUUCAAUACUUCAAAAACAGAUAUCUUUGUAACACUAUUACAUCAUUCAUUAUUGCUUUCUUUUUUUUUCUAGGUGUAUCCUAUCGAGCAAAUAACUAUUUUACGGGGAAGAAAAAGAAGAAACUGCAAUAAUGGUCCAGCAGUUUUUUGUUGUAGUGGCCUCAGGUGGCGGCUCGAAGUCCUUGGAGUCUGGACAAAAUUUAAUCAAGUGGAUAUUACGGAAGAAAAAAAGAGUUUUAUAUGAGAACGAAUCAAGCGUUCGAGAGUUGGGACAGGGAAAUUUUGUAUGAGCACUGUAACUAUCCAAGCUCCACUCUCGACGGUGACAGAGAAAUACCGGAUGCUAUACAGUUCAGAGCCAAGAACAUGGGACCGGCUGAAAGAGCCUCCCGGGCAGUAUGGGAAACUGUCACAGCUGACCAGCGCUGUCCUUCAGCUGUAUCGUACAAUUUCAGUGAACAAAGACUACUUGCAAAUUGUUAACACUGCUGCACGAAAAAAUUAAUGUAUUUUAUUAUUGCAAAAAAAAAACACCUAAAAAGAGAAAACAUUGCGUUCAGUGUUUUUUUUUGUUGCGUGUUGCGUAUUUACACUAACGAGUACAGAUAACUAGAGGUGUUUAAUUAUAUUUCACUUGU